rnacentral:rRNA from 1 species
UGUCGAGCGGUAACAGAUCCAGCUUGCUGGAUGCUGACGAGCGGCGGACGGGUGAGUAAUGCAUAGGAAUCUGCCCGAUAGUGGGGGAUAACCUGGGGAAACCCAGGCUAAUACCGCAUACGUCCUACGGGAGAAAGGGGGCUCCGGCUCCCGCUAUGGGAUGAGCCUAUGUCGGAUUAGCUGGUUGGUGAGGUAACGGCUCACCAAGGCCACGAUCCGUAGCUGGUCUGAGAGGAUGAUCAGCCACAUCGGGACUGAGACACGGCCCGAACUCCUACGGGAGGCAGCAGUGGGGAAUAUUGGACAAUGGGGGAAACCCUGAUCCAGCCAUGCCGCGUGUGUGAAGAAGGCCCUCGGGUUGUAAAGCACUUUCAGCGAGGAAGAACGCCUAGCGGUUAAUACCCGCUAGGAAAGACAUCACUCGCAGAAGAAGCACCGGCUAACUCCGUGCCAGCAGCCGCGGUAAUACGGAGGGUGCAAGCGUUAAUCGGAAUUACUGGGCGUAAAGCGCGCGUAGGUGGCUUGAUAAGCCGGUUGUGAAAGCCCCGGGCUCAACCUGGGAACGGCAUCCGGAACUGUCAAGCUAGAGUGCAGGAGAGGAAGGUAGAAUUCCCGGUGUAGCGGUGAAAUGCGUAGAGAUCGGGAGGAAUACCAGUGGCGAAGGCGGCCUUCUGGACUGACACUGACACUGAGGUGCGAAAGCGUGGGUAGCAAACAGGAUUAGAUACCCUGGUAGUCCACGCCGUAAACGAUGUCGACCAGCCGUUGGGUGCCUAGCGCACUUUGUGGCGAAGUUAACGCGAUAAGUCGACCGCCU